rnacentral:rRNA from 1 species
GACGAACGCUGGCGGCGUGCUUAAUACAUGCAAGUCGAACGGAAAGGCCCUGCUUUUGUGCGGUUCUCGAGUGCCGAACACGUGAGUAACACGUGAGUAACCUGCCCUUGACUUUGGGAUAACUUCAGGAAACUGGGGCUCUUACCGCGUAUAAGCUCCUGCUGCAUGGUGUGUGUUGUAAAGUUUCGGCGGUUCGGGAUGGACUCGAGGUUUAUCAGCUUCUUGGUGGGGUAGUGACUUACCAGGGCUUUGACGGGUAGCCGGCCUGAGAGGGUGACCGGCCACAUUGGGACUGAGAUACGGGCCAGAGUGAAACGGGAGGAAGCAGUGGAGAAUAUUGCAAAAUGGGCGGAAGCCGUAUGCAGCAACGCCGCGUGCGGGAUGACUGCUUUCGGGUUGGAAACUGCUUUAGACUGUGACGAAGAGUGAGUGACGGUAACGGGUAAAGAAGCAACGGCUAACUACGUG